rnacentral:rRNA from 1 species
UCGGAAUUACUGGGCGUAAAGCGUGUGUAGGCGGCCAUAUAAGUCGGAUGUGAAGGCCCUGGGCUCAACCCAGGAAGUGCACUCGAUACUGUAUGGCUCGAGUAUCGGAGAGGUUGGUGGAAUUCUCGGUGUAGAGGUGAAAUUCGUAGAUAUCGAGAGGAACACCGGUGGCGAAGGCGGCCAACUGGACGAAUACUGACGCUGAGACACGAAAGCGUGGGGAGCAAACAGG